UACGUAGGUGGCAAGCGUUGUCCGGAAUUAUUGGGCGUAAAGCGCGCGCAGGUGGUUCCUUAAGUCUGAUGUGAAAGCCCACGGCUCAACCGUGGAGGGUCAUUGGAAACUGGGGAACUUGAGUGCAGAAGAGGAAAGUGGAAUUCCAAGUGUAGCGGUGAAAUGCGUAGAGAUUUGGAGGAACACCAGUGGCGAAGGCGGGCUACUGGGCCGAUACUGACGCUGAGGCGCGAAAGCCAGGGGAGCAAACGGG
rnacentral:rRNA from 1 species